UUUCCGUAGGUGAACCUGCGGAAGGAUCAUUACAGAGUUCAUGCCCUCACGGGUAGAUCUCCCACCCUUGAAUAUUUAUACCUUAGUUGCCUUGGCAGGCCGUGGAAACACCAUGGGCUCCGGCUUAUGCGUGCCUGCCAGAGGAAACAAACUCUGUUUUUAGUGAUGUCUGAGUACUAUAUAAUAGUUAAAACUUUCAACAACGAAUCUCUUGGUUCUG
rnacentral:misc_RNA from 1 species